rnacentral:siRNA from 1 species
ACUUGAUAAAUUAGACCAUCUCC